CGAGCGANUGAUUAGAAGCUUGCUUCUAUGACGUUAGCGGCGGACGGGUGAGUAACACGUGGGCAACCUGCCUGUAAGACUGGGAUAACUUCGGGAAACCGAAGCUAAUACCGGAUAGGAUCUUCUCCUUCAUGGGAGAUGAUUGAAAGAUGGUUUCGGCUAUCACUUACAGAUGGGCCCGCGGUGCAUUAGCUAGUUGGUGAGGUAACGGCUCACCAAGGCAACGAUGCAUAGCCGACCUGAGAGGGUGAUCGGCCACACUGGGACUGAGACACGGCCCAGACUCCUACGGGAGGCAGCAGUAGGGAAUCUUCCGCAAUGGACGAAAGUCUGACGGAGCAACGCCGCGUGAGUGAUGAAGGCUUUCGGGUCGUAAAACUCUGUUGUUAGGGAAGAACAAGUACGAGAGUAACUGCUCGUACCUUGACGGUACCUAACCAGAAAGCCACGGCUAACUACGUGCCAGCAGCCGCGGUAAUACGUAGGUGGCAAGCGUUAUCCGGAAUUAUUGGGCGUAAAGCGCGCGCAGGCGGUUUCUUAAGUCUGAUGUGAAAGCCCACGGCUCAACCGUGGAGGGUCAUUGNNNNUGGGGAACUUGAGUGCAGAAGANNNNNCGGAAUUCCACGUGUAGCGGUGAAAUGCGUANAGAUGUGGAGGAACACCAGUGGCGAAGNGGCUUUUUGGUCUGUAACUGACGCUGNNNGCGAAAGCGUGGGGAGCAAACAGGAUUANAUACCCUGGUAGUCCACGCCGUAAACGAUGANNGNUAAGNGNUANANGGUUUCCGCCCUUUANNGCUGCAGCUAACGCAUU
rnacentral:rRNA from 1 species